GACGAACGCUGGCGGCGUGCCUAAUACAUGCAAGUUGAGCGCUGAAGGUUGGUACUUGUACCAACUGGAUGAGCAGCGAACGGGUGAGUAACGCGUGGGGAAUCUGCCUUUGAGCGGGGGACAACAUUUGGAAACGAAUGCUAAUACCGCAUAAAAACUUUAAACACAAGUUUUAAGUUUGAAAGAUGCAAUUACAUCACUCAAAGAUGAUCCCGCGUUGUAUUAGCUAGUUGGUGAGGUAAAGGCUCACCAAGGCGAUGAUACUUAGCCGACCUGAGAGGGUGAUCGGCCACAUUGGGACUGAGACACGGCCCAAACUCCUACGGGAGGCAGCAGUAGGGAAUCUUCGGCAAUGGACGAAAGUCUGACCAAGCAACGCCGCGUGAGUGAAGAAGGUUUUCGGAUCGUAAAACUCUGUUGGUAGAGAAGAACGUUGGUGAGAGUGGAAAGCUCAUCAAGUGACGGUAACUACCCAGAAAGGGACGGCUAACUACGUG
rnacentral:rRNA from 1 species